GACGAACGCUGGCGGCGUGCUUAACACAUGCAAGUCGAACGAUGAAGAAGAGAAACGCGAACUUCGGUUCAAAUUUCACUUCGGAUUAGUGGCAGACGGGUGAGUAACGCGUGAGCAACCUACCUCUUACAAAGGGAUAGCCUCGGGAAACCGUGAUUAAUACCAUAUGACACAUUCAUAAGGCAUCUUAAGAAUGUUAAAGCUACGGCGGUAAGAGAUGGGCUCGCGUCCGAUUAGCUAGUUGGUGAGGUAACGGCCCACCAAGGCGACGAUGGGUAACCGGCCUGAGAGGGUGAACGGUCACAUUGGAACUGAGACACGGUCCAAACUCCUACGGGAAGCAGCAGUGGGGAAUAUUGCACAAUGGAGGGAACUCUGAUGCAGCGACGCCGCGUGAGCGAUGAAGGAAUUCGUUUCGUAAAGCUCUGUUCUAUGGGAAGAAAAGGACUGUACCAUAGGAGAAAGCCCCGGCUAAAUACGUG
rnacentral:rRNA from 1 species